rnacentral:rRNA from 1 species
AGUGAACGCUGGCGGUAGGCCUAACACAUGCAAGUCGAACGGCAGCACGGUAAGAGCUUGCUCUUACGGGUGGCGAGUGGCGGACGGGUGAGGAAUACAUCGGAAUCUACUUUUUCGUGGGGGAUAACGUAGGGAAACUUACGCUAAUACCGCAUACGACCUACGGGUGAAAGCAGGGGAUCUUCGGACCUUGCGCGAUUGAAUGAGCCGAUGUCGGAUUAGCUGGUUGGCGGGGUAAAGGCCCACCAAGGCGGCGAUCCGUAGCUGGGCUGAGAGGAGGAUCAGCCACACGGGAACUGAGACACGGUCCAGACGCCGACGGGAGGGAGCAGUGGGGAAUAUGGGACAAUGGGCGCAAGCCUGAUCCAGCCAUACCGCGUGGGUGAAGAAGGCGUUCGGGUUGUAAAGCCGGUUUGUGGGGAAAGAAAAGCAGCAGGUUAAGACCGCGCGGUUCUGACGGUACCCAAAGAAUAAGCACCGGCUAACUUCGUG